AUCCUUCGGGAUAGUGGCGCACGGGUGAGUAACGCGUAGGAAUCUACCUAUCAGUCUGGGAUAACAGCGGGAAACUGCUGCUAAUACCGGAUAUUCCCUGCGGGGGAAAGAUUUAUCGCUGAUAGAUGAGCCUGCGUUGGAUUAGCUAGUUGGUGAGGUAAUGGCUCACCAAGGCUCCGAUCCAUAGCUGGUCUGAGAGGAUGAUCAGCCACACUGGGACUGAGACACGGCCCAGACUCC
rnacentral:rRNA from 1 species